rnacentral:rRNA from 1 species
GCUCAUAACAUGUCAAGUCUUCGAACGGCAGGCGGGGCAACCUGGCGGCGAGUGGCGAACGGGUGAGUAAUAUCAUCGGAACGUACCCUGGAGUGGGGGAUAACGUAGCGAAAGUUACGCUAAUACCGCAUACGAUCUAAGGAUGAAAGUGGGGGAUUCGCAAGAACCUCAUGCUCCUGGAGCGGCCGAUAUCUGAUUAGCUAGUUGGUAGGGUAAAAGCCUACCAAGGCAUCGAUCAGUAGCUGGUCUGAGAGGACGACCAGCCACACUGGAACUGAGACACGGUCCAGACUCCUACGGGAGGCAGCAGUGGGGAAUUUUGGACAAUGGGCGCAAGCCUGAUCCAGCAAUGCCGCGUGAGUGAAGAAGGCCUUCGGGUUGUAAAGCUCUUUUGUCAGGGAAGAAACGGACUUUUCUAAUACAGAGGUCUAAUGACGGUACCUGAAGAAUAAGCACCGGCUAACUACGUGCCAGCAGCCGCGGUAAUACGUAGGGUGCAAGCGUUAAUCGGAAUUACUGGCCGCAAAG